ACAGAAUGUUACACACGCAGUCUACUUGAAAGUUCUUCGGGAAUGAUUAGGGUGGCGGACGGGUGAGUACGCGUAAAGAACUUGCCCUUCAGCUGGGGACAACAUUGGGAAACCGAUGCUAAUACCCGAUACGAUUACUUUAUGGCAUCAUAGAGUAAUGAAAGCUAUAUGCGCUGAAGGAGAGCUUUGCGUCCUAUUAGCUAGUUGGUGAGGUAAUGGCUCACCAAGGCGACGAUAGGUAGCCGGCCUGAGAGGGUGAACGGCCACAAGGGAACUGAGACACGGUCCUUACUCCUACUGGAGGCAGCAGUGGGGAAUAUUGGACAAUGGGCUAACCGCCUGAUCCAGCAAUUCUGUGUGGGUGAAGAAGGUUUUCGGAUUGUAAACCCCUUUCAGCAGGGAAGAAGAAAGUGACGGUACCUGCAGAAGAAGCAACGGCUAAUUACGUGCCAGCAGCCGCGGUAAGACGUAAGUUGCAAGCGUUAUCCGGAAUUACUGGGCAUAAAGGGCAUCUAGGCGGUUUAAUAAGUCAGAGGUGAAAAGUCAGGGCUCAACCUUGGCCUUGCCUUUGAAACUGUUAAACUAGAGUACGGGAGAGGAGGGCGGAACUACAAGUG
rnacentral:rRNA from 1 species